rnacentral:sRNA from 1 species
GAAGCUUCGACCAAGGUUCGACUCGAGCGAAGCGAGAGAACGUUGCCGCAGGCAACGGCCCGAAGGGCGAAGCGCUUUAGCGCCGAGUAAUCCUUCCCCCACCACUG